GAUGAACGCUGGCGGCGUGCCUAAUACAUGCAAGUCGAGCGAACGGACGAGAAGCUUGCUUCUCUGAUGUUAGCGGCGGACGGGUGAGUAACACGUGGAUAACCUACCUAUAAGACUGGGAUAACUUCGGGAAACCGGAGCUAAUACCGGAUAAUAUUUUGAACCGCAUGGUUCAAAAGUGAAAGACGGUCUUGCUGUCACUUAUAGAUGGAUCCGCGCUGCAUUAGCUAGUUGGUAAGGUAACGGCUUACCAAGGCAACGAUGCAUAGCCGACCUGAGAGGGGUGUCGGCCACACAGGAACUGGGCAACGGGCCAGACUCCGACGGGGGGCAGCAGGAGGGAAUCUUCCGCAAUGGGCGAAAGCCUGACGGAGCAACGCCGGGGGAGGGAUGAAGGUCUUCGGAUCGUAAAACUCUGUUAUUAGGGAAGAACAUAUGUGUAAGUAACUGUGCACAUCUUGACGGUACCUAAUCAGAAAGCCACGGCUAACUACGU
rnacentral:rRNA from 1 species